UACGUAGGGAGCGAGCGUUGUCCGGAUUUAUUGGGCGUAAAGAGCGCGUAGGCGGCUCGGUAAGCCGGAUGUGAAACCUCCAAGCUCAACUUGGAGCGGCCAUUCGGAACUGCCGUGGCUAGAGUCUGGUAGGGGAACACGGAAUUCCUGGUGUAGCGGUGAAAUGCUUAGAUAUCAGGAGGAACACCAGUGGCGAAGGCGGUGUUCUGGGCCAGUACUGACGCUGAGGCGCGAAAGCGUGGGGAGCCGAACGAGGAUU
rnacentral:rRNA from 1 species